rnacentral:lncRNA from 1 species
CUCUAGCGCGCCUGAGUCACGUGAUAGGACAGAUUUUCUCAUAAGGACCAAUGGAAAGGUCUUACAUUCACAAACUCCGCCCACCCGGAACUCGCGGGACAGAUGAAUGCACACUGAAGGAGCACGAAUAGCACUGCUCGUCCUGUUUUAGGUUUCGUAGAUGUUUGACUCGACCUGCUUUGUAUUAUACCGACGAUGGACCGCAAACGGAGCAAGGCACAGGCCGAGGCUAUGGCUGCAGAUCUCAGUGACGUCACUUCAAUGAAUCUGCUUGGCGUCGCCGAUGUAAAUCAGUGGAUAGAACUUGUGAAAGAUUACUCGGUGGCUGGAGAUCACACACAUGUCCUCUCUGAAUCUGAAGAUGGUGACGGUGAUGACGAUUAUGACAUGGAUCACUCAGUUAUCACAGAUGAAGUUGAGAUGAUUAUGAUUAGAGUGCGCAACGCGAUGGAACCGGGUUAUGACAAGGAGAUGGACAAAAUCCGUCAAUUUGAUUGCAAAUGCGGAGAGGGGCGGAAGGAAGACAACGAAGGAUCGUGCACAAAAAAGUUGUACCCAGACCGCAUCUACAAAUACAGGCGUAAUAUGGCAUCCUUAACACAGAGGUUGAGAGACAUUGCCAUUCUCGGAGUAUUAAAUACCAUCGCACCUAUACUUACCGUAGGUGCGAAGCCCCAGUGUUCCAAGACAGGUGAGCAGACUCAACGGAACCCCCAAACACUUCCAUACCUGGUUGGAGGUGUUCCAGUCUGCGAGGAAUCAUUUCUAUUCAUAUAUGGCAUCAGCAGAGAGCGUCUAAUAUUCCUCCACCGAUCCUACCAGGAGAACGGUACAAAGCCACCCACCUCACCAACUACCACUGGUCGUCCACAUAAUCCUGUAGCCCCUGCGGCUGCCACUGUCCGGCCACGCAAGCCCCGUGCUACUGCGAAGAAGAAAUAGCAAGUCUUGACCAGCAAAUGCAUAUCUUUCACUAUUUUUUCCUCUCUCUCCCCCUUUAUCUUUCUCUCUCUCUAUCCAGGGCCUAAACCCAAGUUCCACAUCACGACAGGCACGGCCCAGACCAGAGUCGUGUGCAGAGCUCCUGGAGGCUGGCUGGAGGAAAAGGACUUGAUGAAGGUGUAUGGAUGUGGUUUCCUGGAUGGAAUGGAGCACGGAUGUGUCACGUCCUGACCAGUAUAAGGGGUUAUUGGUUAUUGUAGUUUGGUCAGGACGUGGCAGGGGGUAUUUGUUUUAUAUGGUUCGGGGUGUGUGUGUACUUAGAGGGGUGUUGUAUUUAUGUGUUCCGGGGUUUUUGGUUUAUGUUCUUGUUUUGUAUUCUAGGUUGUCUAUGUUGU